GGGGGAAGCGCCGCGAAGUAGAUUUUAAAUAAGGUCAAACAUUAUAAAUAAUAAAUAUUGGUUUAUUAUUUGUAUAUCUUUUUAUCCCUCUACCUUUUGCGAGCAAAACUGCGAGCAAAAGGUAGGAGUAGGAUUUAUUUAAAUUAAUAAAUUAAACGAUUCCUACUCCCCUCACUCCUACGGACACAACUGUGACUGUGAGGACUCCUUCCUUUUGCUCGCAAAAGCAAGAUGGAGCCUUACAGGGAGAAAGAGUCGGAGAAAAUUGAUUUGAUUAUUCAUUUAUUUGAGUAAUUAGUGUAGUUAUUCUUUAAUAUGUAAUUUUAUUAUAUUUUUUACUAGGUAUUUAACUGCUUUUUUUAGGUCUAAUUAGUUUCGACUAACCCAUCUGAGUAACAUCUCAAAAGUCAUAGCAAGGUA
rnacentral:rRNA from 1 species